rnacentral:sRNA from 1 species
UUGAGGCCAUAACAGGGUGUCUGUCUCGAGUUAUAGCAGGGUAGGGAUGGGUGCUAAGAACCAAACUUAAAGUCUUCUAGAAGAGCCCAAGUACUCUUGACCACUAAGCCGUCUAUUUCAUCAGGACAUUUCUUAAAACAUUCCUAGAGAGCGCCAGAGAUGGUGAUUAGUGGGUACAAGUGAAAUAACUUGAAUUUGAACUGUGAGAACUCAGGUAAAGCUGGGAAGAGAGAGAGAGAGAGAGAGAGAGAGAGAGAGAGAGAGAGAGAGAGAGAGAGACUGAGACUCUGACUGAGUCUUAAACCAUGUAGAAGGCUCUGACCAAUAAGGAGGUCCACUUCUGGCCUCUCUGGCUCAUGGGUGCCCUCACACACAUAUGGCAAACACAUAUACACACAGGGAAAAGAUUUUAAUAAAACAUUUCAAGAAGACUUAUGUUAUGACUAUAGCAACUAGAUUUUUUAGCAGAAGAGAGACCUGGUUCAAAUCCAAAACAGCUUGGGCAAAAGGGACUUUGGGUAAAGAGACAUACAAAGUCUGUGGACUGAAGGGUUACCAAGAAGAAGAAACAUUAAAAGUACAAAACAAUGUAAUGAGAUUCUUGCUGGAAUUAAGCCAGGUUGGUGUGGCGUCCUCUGUGGAGGACAACAGAAGAGAUGUAAAUUAGAGUCUUUGUGAGAUGGGGAGGGCGUUGGAUAAAGAGGGUAGAAGGCAGGGUUCUUUCUAAAAUGAUUUUACAGGGAAGUGCUCAGUCAUACACGUUCAGGGGAAAUUUCAGAAGCCCAAUUGACACUGGUCCAGCAAAACGUCUUUAUCAUCUUGUUCCACAACUUCAAGUGACCUAGGGGGUGGCCCCACUAGGAUGACCCAACUCAUAGAUGGAAUCCGAUGAAGUGGCAGAAGGGGGUUUACUCCAAGAACACCGCAGUGGCUCCCUUGAGAACACAGAGGAAAACUUCCGGCAGGCCGAGUGGAAUGCGGAGUGACUAGGAAGUUUCUCAUCACGAAGGUCCUGAGUUGCUCCGAAAUUGCACAGUGGUUCCCACAGAGUGGGCAGAACUGAUAACCCACCAUGAGUCAUUUCUCACCUUGCCCAAAUAUGGAAGCAAAGGGGGCAUUUCCUUCCCCACAGCCCCAACCAGAAGACUAUAAUUGCUCUUCAACCCUCUCUCCCACCUCUGAGCAGCAAUCGCUCCAGUUUUCAUAUUUAAAAAGACCCCUUUCUACUAGCGUACAUAAUUAUCACAUAUAAUAAUGGUUCUCUGGCUAGUUUCAUGUCAGCUCGACGCAAUCUAAAAUCAUCUAAGAGGAGGGAAACUCAAAACAAAAAUGCUCUCAGAAGAAGGGACUGUAAGCAAGCCCGUAGAGCGUUUGGAGGUCUGUGGUUGUGGGGGAGGGGCCAGCCCAUUGUGAGUGGGGCCUUCCUUCCGUGGUCUGGUUGUCCUGGGUUCUAUAAGGAAGCAGGCUGGGCACGCUUACUGAGCAGUACGCCACACUUCUCCAUGGCCUCUGGGUCAGCCCCGUCUUCAGGUUCCUCCAUUGUAUUGGUGCCUUCCACCACUUCCUUCAAUGGAUGGUGAUUCAGGAUAUGAGCAAGUUAGCAAGAUGGCCAUACCACUGAAGAAACAUAGCUAACUGACCACAGAUUCUCCAGAGGAGACGGGCCACAAGAGCCGCAGCCCAGUUUAGUGGGCCUAGUUAUAAACAUCAUUUUACUACUGGGGGAAGCCUGAGAGGUGCCUCUGUGUAAGCUCUGAACUUUUCAUCUCGCAAAUAAAAUGUCUUCUGAGAGUUGACAUAAA